CACUGGUGGAGUUUUACUGCCUAGUAGCAGAACAGAUUGUUAGCGUCCCCUCGGCUGCUGAGCUCGUAUCCUGGUUGAAAUAGAUGGUGUUGGAAGAGCAAGUAGGCUAAAGGGAUUUUAUAUUUUGCAGUUGUGCAUGGGACUUGGAUGAGCAAGGCACUGAAAUUUACAACAAUUAUACAAAACAAGAGAAGAACACGCCUCAUUACUAUGUUUCUGCAGAACUGUAUGCCUCAGCAAAUGUGGAGCUUGAGAGAUGGAUGGAUUUUUCUUGAUCAUUAGAGUAGCAGUCCUUUGUAUCUGGCACUUACUCAAGGUUUCAGAGAUGAAUGGGGAGAUUCUGUUCUGAGCACCGACCCUGACUUUUACCAAUGCUGUAUUUCCAACCUGAAGAGAUUUUCAGACUAAAUGGAAAUCACACAGAGAACUCUGUCACUGCUUAGGCUCUGUCUUGACAGUCAGUCUUCAUUUUGGGUGCUGGCCACCAUAUCUCCACUACUCAGU